UCCCUGGUGGCUCAGAUGGUAAAGCAUCUGCCUGCAAUGCAGGAGACCCAGGUUCAAUCCCCGGGUUGGGAA
rnacentral:tRNA from 1 species